rnacentral:lncRNA from 1 species
CUCCCUCCUUUGCUCCGGGGGCUAUUUCGAGAGCCUCCUCCCUCCCUCCCUCCCUCCCUCCCUCCCUUCCUCCCGCCCGCCCGCCCCUCCCCCCAGGACCGGACGGGACCCGCCACACCAACUACUUGGGCCUGGGGGCUCCCCCCGGGGACACCCACACACACACACAAUCUCUCCUUGUCUCUCUCGCACACACACACACACGCUCCCUCUCCUACACAAACACACAUAGGCUCUGCCACACACAUACAAUCUCUCGGUGUCUCUCUCUCUCACACACAAUCUCGAUUACACACAGUCUCUGUUACCCCCACACACUCUGUCGCACACACCCCCCCAGUUUCUCUCUGUCACGCACACAAUCUCUCGGGGUCACACACACACACCGUCUCUCCCUGUCACACACACAAUCUCUCGGUGUCACACAAACGCACCGUCUCUCUCUCUCUCACACACACAGUCUCCUACACACACACACACACACAAACACAGUCUCUCUACCACACACGCACAAUCUGUGUCACACACACACACCCUCAUAUACACACACACAAACACACAGUCUCUCUCUCUGUGUCACACACACAGAGUCACACAUCCACAGUCUCUCUCACACCCUCCCAAACACACACGCACACGGUCUCUGUGUGUCACACACACAAUCUCUCUCUCUCUCUCACACACACACAGUCCCUCUGUUCCUCCCGGACCCGCACCCCCUCCCUCCCUCUCCCACACACAGUCGCACGAACACAGUCCCGCACAGGCAGUCUCUCUCUCUCUCUGUGUCACACACAGACACAUCCCUCCAUCCCUGGGAAGAUGUCAGUCCUGGGAGGGGGGAGGCGAAGUUAGCCGCUCCCCAGCGGGGCUGCAGAAGGCCGCCGGACCCGAACCCGGGACCAGGUUAGCCCUGCUUACUCUCGUCUCCUUGGCCAGGAUCUCCCCAGCUCAACAAGCCCCGCUGAGAUCCCACCUCAAGCUGCUAAAGCCAGUUCUCCAAGCCAUCUACAAUGAGCUCCACAGCACAGUCAGACCUAGAAUUCUGACUCGCUGUUGUUCCAAUUGGAGUCCUAAUCAUGUUUUGAAUAUAUCUUCCAACUUGGAAAAUUUGGUAAGCUUUGCACUUUUGCAUGAGACAGUUUAAACCCAAAACAGCUGGCAUGUGAAUGACUAUGCAUAAUGUAUGAAAAACCCACUGACCAAGUAUGUCUGAUCCAAUGCAUCUAGCGAAUUGAUCAGUGCAUGACUUAUCAAAGAGAUGUACAGUCAAUCUAAGUGACCCACAGUCUAGAAGUUGACACCGAGAAUGAAUUCUCCUGAAACUCA